GAUGAACGCUGGCGGCGUGCCUAAUACAUGCAAGUCGAGCGAACGGACGAGAAGCUUGCUUCUCUGAUGUUAGCGGCGGACGGGUGAGUAACACGUGGAUAACCUACCUAUAAGACUGGGAUAACUUCGGGAAACCGGAGCUAAUACCGGAUAAUAUUUUGAACCGCAUGGUUCAAAAGUAAAAGACGGUCUUGCUGUCACUUAUAGAUGGAUCCGCGCUGCAUUAGCUAGUUGGUAAGGUAACGGCUUACCAAGGCAACGAUGCAUAGCCGACCUGAGAGGGUGAUCGGCCACACUGGAACUGAGACACGGUCCAGACUCCUACGGGAGGCAGCAGUAGGGAAUCUUCCGCAAUGGGCGAAAGCCUGACGGAGCAACGCCGCGUGAGUGAUGAAGGUCUUCGGAUCGUNAAACUCUGUUAUUAGGGAAGAACAUAUGUGUAGGUAACUGUGCACAUCUUGACGGUACCCUAUCAGAAAGCCACGGCUAACUACGUGCCAGCAGCCGCGGUAUACGUAGGUGGCAAGCGUUAUCCNGGAUUAUUUGGCGUAAAGCGCGCGUAGGCGGUUUUUUAGUCUGAUGUGAAAGCCCACGGCUUCACCGUGGAGGGUCACUGGAAACUGGAAAACUUGAGUGCAGAAGAGGAAAGUGGAAUUCCAUGUGUAGCGGUGAAAUGCGCAGAGAUAUGGAGGAACACCAGUGGCGAAGGCGACUUUCUGGUCUGUAACUGACGCUGAUGUGCGAAAGCGUGGGGACCAAACAGGAUUAGAUACCCUGGUAGUCCACGCCGUAAACGAUGAGUGCUAAGUGUUAGGGGGUUUCCGCCCCUUAGUGCUGCAGCUAACGCAUUAAGCACUCCGCCUGGGGAGUACGACCGCAAGGUUGAAACUCAAAGGAAUUGACGGGGACCCGCACAAGCGGUGGAGCAUGUGGUUUAAUUCGAAGCAACGCGAAGAACCUUACCAAAUCUUGACAUCCUUUGACAACUCUAGAGAUAGAGCCUUCCCCUUCGGGGGACAAAGUGACAGGUGGUGCAUGGUUGUCGUCAGCUCGUGUCGUGAGAUGUUGGGUUAAGUCCCGCAACGAGCGCAACCCUUAAGCUUAGUUGCCAUCAUUAAGUUGGGCACUCUAAGUUGACUGCCGGUGACAAACCGGAGGAAGGUGGGGAUGACGUCAAAUCAUCAUGCCCCUUAUGAUUUGGGCUACACACGUGCUACAAUGGACAAUACAAAGGGCAGCGAAACCGCGAGGUCAAGCAAAUCCCAUAAAGUUGUUCUCAGUUCGGAUUGUAGUCUGCAACUCGACUACAUGAAGCUGGAAUCGCUAGUAAUCGUAGAUCAGCAUGCUACGGUGAAUACGUUCCCGGGUCU
rnacentral:rRNA from 1 species